UUGGACAGAUCAGUCAGUAGAGCAUGAGACUCUUGAUCUCAGGGUUGUGGGUUCGAUCCCCACAUUGGGCAAAA